GUGCGCUCCUGCCGGUUCGUACGUUAUGCUCGCGAAACUCAACGGAUCGGAUACGCACGUAGUCUUUGCUCGCUGAAGUCCUUCGGACGCGGGUUCGAUUCCCGCCACCUCCACCA
rnacentral:tmRNA from 1 species